UAAAUUAUUAGCCUGCAUUAAUACAACAGGUGCAUCUUGCUGUUCAGUUAAGCACUAUUAUUAAAAGCUUUGA